GAUGAACGCUGGCGGCGUGCCUAAUACAUGCAAGUCGAGCGAACGGACGAGAAGCUUGCUUUUCUGAUGUUAGCGGCGGACGGGUGAGUAACACGUGGAUAGCCUACCUAUAAGACUGGGAUAACUUCGGGAAACCGGAGCUAAUACCGGAUAAUAUUUUGAACCGCAUGGUUCAAAAGUGAAAGACGGUCUUGCUGUCACUUAUAGAUGGAUCCGCGCUGCAUUAGCUAGUUGGUAAGGUAACGGCUUACCAAGGCAACGAUGCAUAGCCGACCUGAGAGGGUGAUCGGCCACACUGGAACUGAGACACGGUCCAGACUCCUACGGGAGGCAGCAGUAGGGAAUCUUCCGCAAUGGGCGAAAGCCUGACGGAGCAACGCCGCGUGAGUGAUGAAGGUCUUCGGAUCGUAAAACUCUGUUAUUAGGGAAGAACAUAUGUGUAAGUAACUGUGCACAUCUUGACGGUACCUAAUCAGAAAGCCACGGCUAACUACGUG
rnacentral:rRNA from 1 species